rnacentral:rRNA from 1 species
CGCGUAGGUGGCCUGCUAAGCGUGCGGUGAAAGUCGGGGGCUCAACCCCCGAUCGGCCGUGCGAACUGGGAGGCUUGAGCACUGUAGAGGCAGGCGGAAUUCCGGGUGUAGCGGUGGAAUGCGUAGAGAUCCGGAAGAACACCGGUGGCGAAGGCGGCCUGCUGGGCAGUUUUGCUGACACUGAGGCGCGACAGCGUGGGGAGCAAACAGGAUUAGAUACCCUGGUAGUCCACGCCGUAAACGAUGGGCACUAGGCGCUUGGGGGAGCGACCCCUCGAGGGCCGGCGCUAACGCAUUAAGUGCCCCGCCUGGGGAGUACGGCCGCAAGGCUGAA